GGUGAGUAACGCGUGAGAAUCUGGCUCCAGGUCGGGGAUAACAGUUGGAAACGACUGCUAAUACCGGAUGUGCCGAAAGGUGAAAGAUUUAUUGCCUGGAGAUGAGCUCGCGUCUGAUUAGCUAGUUGGUGGUGUAAGGGACCACCAAGGCGUCGAUCAGUAGCUGGUCUGAGAGGAUGAUCAGCCACACUGGGACUGAGACACGGCCCAGACUCCUACGGGAGGCAGCAGUGGGGAAUUUUCCGCAAUGGGCGAAAGCCUGACGGAGCAAUACCGCGUGAGGGAGGAAGGCUCUUGGGUCGUAAACCUCUUUUCUCAAGGAAGAAGAAAGUGACGGUACUUGAGGAAUAAGCAUCGGCUAACUCCGUGCCAGCAGCCGCGGUAAUACGGAGGAUGCAAGCGUUAUCCGGAAUGAUUGGGCGUAAAGGGUCUGCAGGUGGAACUGAAAGUCUGCUGUUAAAGAGUUUGGCUUAACCAAAUAAAAGCGGUGGAAACUACAGAACUAGAGUGCGGUAGGGGCAAAAGGAAUUCCUGGUGUAGCGGUGAAAUGCGUAGAUAUCAGGAAGAACACCGGUGGCGAAAGCGUUUUGCUAGACCGUAACUGACACUGAGGGACGAAAGCUAGGGGAGCGAAUGGGAUUAGAUACCCCAGUAGUCCUAGCCGUAAACGAUGGAUACUAGGCGUGGCUUGUAUCGACCCGAGCCGUGCCGGAGCUAACGCGUUAAGUAUCCCGCCUGGGGAGUACGCACGCAAGUGUGAAACUCAAAGGAAUUGACGGGGGCCCGCACAAGCGGUGGAGUAUGUGGUUAAUUCGAUGCAACGCGAAGAACCUUACCAAGACUUGACAUCCUGCGAAUCCCGGUGAAAGCUGGGAGUGCCCUUAGGGAGCGCAGAGACAGGUGGUGCAUGGCUGUCGUCAGCUCGUGUCGUGAGAUGUUGGGUUAAGUCCCGCAACGAGCGCAACCCUCGUUUUUAGUUGCCAGCAUUAAGUUGGGCACUCUAGAGAGACUGCCGGUGACAAACCGGAGGAAGGUGAGGAUGACGUCAAGUCAGCAUGCCCCUUACGUCUUGGGCUACACACGUACUACAAUGCUACGGACAGAGGGCAGCAGAGCCAGGGAUGGCAAGCGAAUCCAGAAACCGUAGCUCAGUUCAGAUCGAAGGCUGCAACUCGCCUUCGUGAAGGAGGAAUCGCUAGUAAUUGCAGGUCAGCAUACUGCAGUGAAUUCGUUCCCGGGCCUUGUACACACCGCCCGUCACACCAUGGAAGUUGGUCACGCCCGAAGUCAUUACCCCAACCGAAAGGAGGGGGAUGCCUAAGGUAGGACUGGUGACUGGGGUGAAGUCGUAACAAGGU
rnacentral:rRNA from 1 species